CCUCCUCACAAAAUCGACACCCCAAACUCACAUAAAGUCAAAGAAUACAGCAAGGAAGGGAGGAGGAGCAAGGAGGAGAUUCUGAAGCAGGACAUCAGUCCCAUCCAAGAGGAUUCAUCAAACUUAGGAUAAACUGCUCAAGGGCAAGUGAGGCCAACGCAAAUAAUUGAAUUAAGGAAUAAGCAUACCAGGUUGAACGUCAAGAGGAUGGAGUGAUGAUCGGAGUCGAUGUUAUCAAGUUGAUCUCCCAACGAUUCGUGUCUUCAUACACGAAGUCGUUUAGCAAGGACUUAUUCCGCUGUGCUUUUAGAAUUAUAGAACCUCACCAUCAACUCUGAUUUAUUUGAGGAGAUGUCUAUUCUGUUUUCAAGACCGUGUAAUGAAAUACUUGGCUUCUAUGUUAUCAUUUGACUUGGCCUUGUGAAAUUCUCAA